UGGGGUGGGUAAAAUUUCACUCUAAAAGCUAAAUUAUUGGCCCAGAGACACCGAAUAAGCGGCAACAGUGUAGAAGUGAUCGAAAGGAUGAAAAAGCAACUUUGGAAAAGAGAAAGUCCAACCCAGUACGUGGAAAUUGUUUGAAAGGGGAAGCGGCUUGCAAACCAGAACUUGCCCGGCGGGUGAUCCAGCCGGGUAUUUUUACCGGUCCCACCCGCCCCGUGGGUCAGGGCCAGCAUCGGUUUGGGCGGCGGGAUAAAAGUCCUCCGGAAUGUAGCUCCUUUCGGGGAGUGUUAUAGCCGGGGGUGCAAUGCUGCCCGCCUGGACCGAGGACCGCGCUUUGGCUCGGAUGCUGGCGUAAUGGUUGUAAGCGACCCGUCUUGAAACACGGACCAAGGAGUCUAACAUCUAUGCGAGUGUUUGGGUGUCAAACCCAUGCGCGUAAUGAAAGUGAACGGAGGUGGGAACCCUCCAGGGUGCACCAUCGACCGAUCCUGAUGUCUUCGGAUGGAUUUGAGUAAGAGCAUAGCUGUUGGGACCCGAAAGAUGGUGAACUAUGCCUGAAUAGGGUGAAGCCAGAGGAAACUCUGGUGGAGGCUCGCAGCGGUUCUGACGUGCAAAUCGAUCGUC
rnacentral:rRNA from 1 species